rnacentral:rRNA from 1 species
CGGACUGCAGUCUGCAACUCGACUGCACGAAGUCGGAAUUGCUAGUAAUCGCGGAUCAGCAUGCCGCGGUGAAUACGUUCCCGGGCCUUGUACACACCGCCCGUCACACCAUGAGAGUCGGGAACACCCGAAGUCCGUAGUCUAACCUCGUGAGGACGCGGCCGAAGGUGGGCUUGAUAAUUGGGGUGAAGUCGUAACAAGGUAUC